CAGCCGCCGCGGGAAUACGUAGGGUGCGAGCGUUGUCCGGAAUUACUGGGCGUAAAGAGCUCGUAGGCGGUUUGUCGCGUCGUCUGUGAAAUUCUGCAGCUUAACUGUAGGCGUGCAGGCGAUACGGGCAGACUUGAGUACUACAGGGGAGACUGGAAUUCCUGGUGUAGCGGUGAAAUGCGCAGAUAUCAGGAGGAACACCGGUGGCGAAGGCGGGUCUCUGGGUAGUAACUGACGCUGAGGAGCGAAAGCGUGGGUAGCGAACAGGAUUAGAUACCCCCGGUAGUCCCUGUCUCUUAUA
rnacentral:rRNA from 1 species